GACGAACGCUGGCGGCGUGCUUAACACAUGCAAGUCGAACGGAAAGGCCCUGCUUUUGUGGGGUGCUCGAGUGGCGAACGGGUGAGUAACACGUGAGUAACCUGCCCUUGACUUUGGGAUAACUUCAGGAAACUGGGGCUAAUACCGGAUAGGAGCUCCUGCUGCAUGGUGGGGGUUGGAAAGUUUCGGCGGUUGGGGAUGGACUCGCGGCUUAUCAGCUUGUUGGUGGGGUAGUGGCUUACCAAGGCUUUAACGGGUAGCCGGCCUGAGAGGGUGACCGGCCACAUUGAGACUGAGAUACGGCCCAGACUCCUACGGGAGGCAGCAGUGGGGAAUAUUGCACAAUGGGCGGAAGCCUGAUGCAGCAACGCCGCGUGCGGGAUGACGGCCUUCGGGUUGUAAACCGCUUUCGCCUGUGACGAAGCGUGAGUGACGGUAAUGGGUAAAGAAGCACCGGCUAACUACGUG
rnacentral:rRNA from 1 species